GUAGCGGCGAGCGAACGCGGAUUAGCCCAAACCAAUAAAGUUUUCUUUAUUGGGGUUGCGGACAUAUCAUAACGAAGGGGUAUCGUAAUUGAAGAGGUUUGGAAAGACCCACCACAGAAGGUAAUAGUCCUGUAUGUUAAACGAGAAGACUUUAGAUAUGAUCCAGAGUACCACGGGACACGUGAAACCCUGUGGGAAGCAGGAG
rnacentral:rRNA from 1 species